rnacentral:ribozyme from 1 species
GGCCCAGCAACUCCUAUCCCUACCUCCACGCGGUACCGGCCGGAAACUAUGAGCAACCUUAGGGAAGAUCGGGUAACCAACCCCGGUGGGAACUUUGGUCGUAGGCUGACAGGGAAGG